rnacentral:rRNA from 1 species
UACAGAGGGGGCAAGCGUUGUUCGGAAUUACUGGGCGUAAAGGGCGCGUAGGCGGCCUUCUAAGUCAGACGUGAAAUCUCUCGGCUCAACCGGGGAACUGCGUCUGAGACUGGAAGGCUUGAAUCCGGGAGAGGGAUGUGGAAUUCCAGGUGUAGCGGUGAAAUGCGUAGAUAUCUGGAGGAACACCGGUGGCGAAGGCGGCAUCCUGGACCGGUAUUGACGCUGAGGCGCGAAAGCCAGGGGAGCAAACGGG